rnacentral:rRNA from 1 species
UUCCAGACUCCUACGGGAGGCAGCAGUAGGGAAUCUUUCACAAUGGGCGAAACCCUGAUGCAGCAACGCCACGUGAGUGAAGAAGUCAUUCGUGAUGUAAAGCUCUAUCAGCAGGGAAGAAAAUGACGGUACCUGAGUAAGAAGCCCCGGCUAACUACGUGCCAGCAGCCGCGGUAAUACGUAGGGGGCAAGCGUUAUCCGGAUUUACUGGGUGUAAAGGGAGCGUAGACGGCCAGACAAGUCUGAAGUGAAAAUCCAGCGCUUAACGUUGGAAGUGCUUUGGAAACUGCCGGGCUAGAGUGCAGGAGGGGCAGGCGGAAUUCCUAGUGUAGCGGUGAAAUGCGUAGAUAUCAGGAGGAACACCGGCGGCGAAGGCGGCCUGCUGGACCGUGACUGACGUUGAGGCUCGAGAGCGUGGGGAGCAAACAGGAUUAGAUACCCCAGUA